rnacentral:rRNA from 1 species
GGAGUCUGGUCCGUGUCUCAGUACCAGUGUGGGGGACCUUCCUCUCAGAACCCCUACUGAUCGUCGGCUAGGUGGGCCGUUACCCCGCCUACAACCUAAUCAGACGCAUCCCCAUCCCUUAGCGAUGAAUCUUUGGUUUGAUUUAGAUGUCCGCUUCAAACAACAUAGAGUAUUAAUCCGACUUUCGCCGGGCUAUCCUCUACUAAGGGGAAGGUUGGAUACGCGUUACUCACCCGUGCGCCGGUCGCCAUCAAUCUUAGCAAGCUAAGAUCAUGAUGCCCCUCGACUUGCAUGUGUUAAGCCUGUAGCUAGCGUUCAUC